GAGUUUGUAUCUUGGCUCAGAGUGAACGCUGGCGGCGUGCUUAACACAUGCAAGUCGAGCGAUUUUUUGCAGUGUAUCGCAAGAGAUAGCGGCAGACGGGUGAGUAAUAUUUGGGCAAUUUCCCCCUUCAACGGAAAAUAACUAGCCGAAAGGUUAGCUAAUGUUCCAUAAGACCACGGAAUAGCAUCAUUCAGGGGUAAAAGUUCCGCAAGGAGCGUUAAAGGAGAAGCCCAAAUCCCUAUCAUGGUAGUUGGUGAGGUAACGGCUCACCAAGCCUUUGACGGGUAGCCGGCCUGAAAGGGUGAUCGGCCACACUGGCACUGAGACACGGGCCAGACUCCUACGGGAGGCAGCAGUGGGGAAUUUUGGACAAUGGGGGCAACCCUGAUCCAGCGACGCCGCGUGAAGGAUGAAGGUCUUCGGAUCGUAAACUUCUUUUAGAGGGGACGAAUGAGUUGUUGAAUAAACAACAGUGACGGUACCCUUUGAAUAAGCCACGGCUAACUACGUGCCAGCAGCCGCGGUAAC
rnacentral:rRNA from 1 species